GGCACUGUAGCUCAGUGGGGGGUAGAGUGCUUGCCUAGCAUGUGUGAGGCCCUGGGUUCGAUCCCCAGCAGCCC
rnacentral:tRNA from 1 species